rnacentral:lncRNA from 1 species
GAGUCAUCAAGGAAACAUUACGUCUGUUUCCUGCAGCUCCAUUUAUUGCACGGAAACUAUAUAGGGACACAAGAGUGAACGACAAUGUGAUAAUACCAAAAAAUUGUCACGUAGUUAUUUCAAUAUUUUCAUUGCACCGAAAAUAUAAAUAUUGGACUGAUCCGUUAAGAUUUAACCCGGAUCGGUUCUUGCCGGGAAAUUAUAACGAGAAAUGUUUUCGUCCGUUCAGCUUUGGGAAUAGAGGAUGUAUAGGGAAAAACGAUAAAGAUUGAUAUGAAUGAUGAUAGAUCUUCUUCUGGAUGCAAGGAUUAAAGGGCGUUACUAUUUAGAUAACAGUUUGUCAGGAUUAAUAGUUAAGAGUACACAUAUAUUUAAUCAUACAUAAAAUCACUUAAACAUAAGGCUUCAAAA